GUGCUCGUUUUGGCUGCACACAUACUAAACUUGGAACAAUACAGAGAAGAUUGGCAUGGCCACUGUGCAAGGAUGUCACGGAGAUGCGUGAGGCAUUCCAUAUUUAA